rnacentral:rRNA from 1 species
AUUGAACGCUGGCGGCAGGCCUAACACAUGCAAGUCGAACGAGUGGCGGACGGGUGAGUAAUGUCUGGGAAACUGCCUGAUGGAGGGGGAUAACUACUGGAAACGGUAGCUAAUACCGCAUACCAUCAGAUGUGCCCAGAUGGGAUUAGCUAGUUGGUGGGGUAACGGCUCACCAAGGCGACGAUCCCUAGCUGGUCUGAGAGGAUGACCAGCCACACUGGGACUGAGGAACGGGUCAAACUCCUACGGGAGGCAGCAGGGGGGAAUAUUGGAAAAUGGGGGCAAACCUGAUGCAGCCAUGCCGCGUGUAUGAAGAAGGCCUUCGGGUUGGAAAGUACUUUCAGCGGGGAGGCGUUACCCGCAGAAGAAGCACCGGCUAACUCCGUGCCAGCAGCCGCGGUAAUAC